AUGUUUUUCUCUUAUUCCUCUGGCACUAAAAAUCACUCGAUAUCUUAUCCAGUUGUUAGGGCUGUGUCUGAAAAGCUUGGCGGACCUGUUGACAUUCUUCAUCUUGACGCACAUCCAGAUAUCUAUGACUGUUUUGAAGGGAACACUUACUCACAUGCUUCUUCAUUCGCAAGAAUAAUGGAGGGAGGUUAUGCGAGGCGACUUUUGCAGGUUGGACUUAGAUCAAUUACCAAAGAAGGACGUGAGCAAGGGAAGAGAUUUGGUGUGGAACAGUAUGAGAUGCGAACCUUCUCCAGGGAUCGGGAGAAGCUUGAGAAUCUGAAACUUGGGGAAGGUGUGAAGGGGGUGUAUGUCGACGUCGACGUGGACUGCCUCGACCCCGCAUUCGCUCCUGGUGUCUCUCACAUCGAGCCGGGAGGCCUCUUGUUUCGCGACGUGCUCAACAUCCUUCAGAAUCUGCAAGGCGAUGUCGUCGCCGGAGAUGUGGUGGAGUUCAACCCGCAGCGUGACACGGUCGACGGCAUGACGGCUAUGGUCGCCGCAAAGCUGGUCCGGGAGCUGAGCGCCAAGAUCUCAAAAUGA
rnacentral:rRNA from 1 species